CUCGGAGUUUGAUCCUGGCUCAGAUUGAACGCUGGCGGAAUGCUUUACACAUGCAAAGUCGAACGGUAGAGGGGGCAACCCCUCGAGAGUGGCGAACGGGUGAGUAAUAUAUCGGAACGUGCCCAGUCGUGGGGGAUAACGGUAAGCGAAACGUUACGCUAAUACCGCAUACGAUCUAAGGAUGAAAGCGGGGGAUCGCAACGACCGUCGCGCGGAUUGGGAGUCGGCCGAUAUCAGAUUAGGUAGUUGGUGGGUAAAGGCUCACCAAGCCAACGAUCUGUAGCUGGUCUGA
rnacentral:rRNA from 1 species